CUGUACCUUGCCUUUAAACUUUUGUGUUAAACAAUGUGCUUUUUCAUCCUUUUUCUAUACAAUGUCGGAUAAUCUUGGCAGCAUCUUCAGCUUAACUAUUACCAGCUGGAAACAAAGUCACUUUUAACAAGUAAUUUAAUUUGUUUUAUGCUUCUAUUUGCAUCACUAUUCUGUGAUUUAUUCUUACAGUCUGUGAUUGGACGUUAUGAAUGUUGGUUUUUGCUUUGCACAAUGCAUUUCUCCCUUGCCCUGGUAACUGCUUUUCUGUCUUCCUUUCCUUUGGAAGGACUUAGCUGAGGAUUGUCGGAUCCAAUUGUCUUACCUGCAGAUCUGAUUAUACAACAUUUUACUGAACAGGAUAUCAAUAUUUUUGCAAUUAUUAGUAGUAGCCGUUAGAGUAAAACGUAGCUUCUUUUUUCCUUUUGAUUUG